UGCCAGCAGCCGCGGUAAUAUGUAGGUGGCAAGUGUUGUCAGGAAUUAGUGGGCGUAAAGGGCUCGCAGGCGCUUUCUUAAGUCUGAAGGGAAAGCCCCCGGCUCAGCCGGGGAGGGUCAUUGGAAACUGGGAUACUUGAGUGCAGAAGAGGAGAGUGGACCUCCACGUGUAGCGGUGAAAUGCGUAGAGAUGUGGAGGAACACCAGUGGCGAAGGCGACUCUCUGGUCUGUAACUAGACGCUGAGGAGCGAAAGCGUGGGGAGCGAACAGGAUUAGAUACCCUGGUAGUCCACGCCGUAAACGAUGAGUGCUAAGUGUUAGGGGGUUUCCGCCCCUUAGUGCUGCAGCUAACGCAUUAAGCACUCCGCCUGGGGAGUACGGUCGCAAGACUGAAACUCAAAGGAAUUGACGGGGGCCCGCACAAGCGGUGGAGCAUGUGGUUUAAUUCGAAGCAACGCGAGAGAACCUUACCAGGUCUUGACAUCCUCUGACAACCCUAGAGAUAGGGCUUUCCCUUCGGGGACAGAGUGACAGGUGGUGCAUGGUUGUCGUCAGCUCGUGUCGUGAGAUGUUGGGUUAAGUCCCGCAACGAGCGCAACCCUUGAUCUUAGUUGCCAGCAUUCAGUUGGGCACUCUAAGGUGACUGCCGGCUGACAAACCGGAGGAAGGUGGGGAUGACGUCAAAUCAUCAUGCCCCUUAUGACCUGGGCUACACACGUGCUACAAUGGACAGAACAAAGGCGAGCUGCGAGACCGCAAGGUUUAGCCAAUCCCACAAAUCUGUUCUGCAGUUCGGAUCAGGCAGUCUGCAACUCGACUGCGUGAAGCUGGAAUCGCUAGUAAUCGCGGAUCAGCAUGCCGCGGUGAAUACGUUCCCGGGCCUUGUACACCGACCGCCCGUCACAGCCACGAGAGUUUGCAACACCCGAAGUCGGUGAGGUAACCUUUAUGGAGCCAGCCGCCGAAGG
rnacentral:rRNA from 1 species